AUGAACGCUAGCUACAGGCUUAACACAUGCAAGUCGAGGGGCAGCAUGAACUUAGCUUGCUAAGUUUGAUGGCGACCGGCGCACGGGUGAGUAACACGUAUCCAACCUGCCGAUGACUCGGGGAUAGCCUUUCGAAAGAAAGAUUAAUACCCGAUGGCAUAGUUCUUCCGCAUGGUAGAACUAUUAAAGAAUUUCGGUCAUCGAUGGGGAUGCGUUCCAUUAGGUUGUUGGCGGGGUAACGGCCCACCAAGCCUUCGAUGGAUAGGGGUUCUGAGAGGAAGGUCCCCCACAUUGGAACUGAGACACGGUCCAAACUCCUACGGGAGGCAGCAGUGAGGAAUAUUGGUCAAUGGACGAGAGUCUGAACCAGCCAAGUAGCGUGAAGGAUGACUGCCCUAUGGGUUGUAAACUUCUUUUAUACGGGAAUAAAGUGAGGCACGUGUGCCUUUUUGUAUGUACCGUAUGAAUAAGGAUCGGCUAACUCCGUGCCAGCAGCCGCGGUAAUACGGAGGAUCCGAGCGUUAUCCGGAUUUAUUGGGUUUAAAGGGAGCGUAGGCGGACGCUUAAGUCAGUUGUGAAAGUUUGCGGCUCAACCGUAAAAUUGCAGUUGAUACUGGGUGUCUUGAGUACAGUAGAGGCAGGCGGAAUUCGUGGUGUAGCGGUGAAAUGCUUAGAUAUCACGAAGAACUCCGAUUGCGAAGGCAGCCUGCUGGACUGUAACUGACGCUGAUGCUCGAAAGUGUGGGUAUCAAACAGGAUUAGAUACCCUGGUAGUCCACACAGUAAACGAUGAAUACUCGCUGUUUGCGAUAUACAGUAAGCGGCCAAGCGAAAGCGUUAAGUAUUCCACCUGGGGAGUACGCCGGCAACGGUGAAACUCAAAGGAAUUGACGGGGGCCCGCACAAGCGGAGGAACAUGUGGUUUAAUUCGAUGAUACGCGAGGAACCUUACCCGGGCUUGAAUUGCAACUGAAUGAUGUGGAGACAUGUCAGCCGCAAGGCAGUUGUGAAGGUGCUGCAUGGUUGUCGUCAGCUCGUGCCGUGAGGUGUCGGCUUAAGUGCCAUAACGAGCGCAACCCUUAUCGAUAGUUACCAUCAGGUGAUGCUGGGGACUCUGUCGAGACUGCCGUCGUAAGAUGUGAGGAAGGUGGGGAUGACGUCAAAUCAGCACGGCCCUUACGUCCGGGGCUACACACGUGUUACAAUGGGGGGUACAGAGGGCCGCUACCACGCGAGUGGAUGCCAAUCCCCAAAACCUCUCUCAGUUCGGACUGGAGUCUGCAACCCGACUCCACGAAGCUGGAUUCGCUAGUAAUCGCGCAUCAGCCACGGCGCGGUGAAUACGUUCCCGGGCCUUGUACACACCGCCCGUCAAGCCAUGAAAGCCGGGGGUACCUGAAGUGCGUAACCGCAAGGAGCGCCCUAGGGUAAAACUGGUGAUUGGGGCU
rnacentral:rRNA from 1 species